UGUCCCUUUGUACUCCCUACCUCGCCCCGCUCUUAAAAUUACAGAAUAAAUUCCUGGGAGGUUUUGUAGAGUUCGGGACGACAUUCCCCAGCUAACCUUUUGGUUGUGGUGUACGGAAAGGUUGAAUCUAUGAGGUGCUGGGGACCAUCAUGAAUGAAAAACACUGCGGUGUCCAAGGACGCUAGUUUGGUUGUCGCGUUCACUCUGAGCUUUCUCUGGACUUUAGGUCAAUCCAAGAUAACGCGCUGAGUAGGAGCGGGGUACCUUCUCUGGACCCAGAAAGAAAUAACCAUUUCUCCACCCCCAAUCUCACACACACCCCUUAGUCGCUCCCUCCAAAUGGUUAUCACAACUGUGUACAAACUGAUACGGUUCUUAGCGGGCCAAGGACUGGAAAUGAACACUGGCGGGGUUAUCAGUGCGGAUCUGUCAGCAGCGAGUGGCGCACUGCUUGUCCCAGGCAGCCGCAGUGGUGUACGUCUUAUUCCUUCGGGCCCACAAGAAGGAUUUCUUCCGACAAGCUGGACACUGGAAGGCUGAGGGAAGGGAAUUGAACAGGAGAAACAUUCUUAUGGGAGUGGAUUUUUACACGCACACCCCACGUAAAUUAAAUCACUGUGGCUUCAGUGUGACUUCGGAAAGGCUGAAAGUAGAAAACUCUGGAAUGGAGAGGCUGGCAACUGGAGCAGGAUUCGAAGGCUUUAAAUUUUAACCCGUGUUCGAUCGAAAGUUACUACCACAAGAGACUGGCACGGGCCGGCCCAAUUCCCACCAUGGCUUCCAGAGGCUUGCUUUGGGGUUGUCCGCUUGUUAUCUGGGCCACCCAAUGACCGACGAAAGAUCUUCCCUCACCACGUCUCCCAUCACCGCUUUAAACCAAAUAAAUUUAGCUAUUAAGGGCCAAGAUGUCUGACAAAAGAUCGAAAGGUGUCUCUCUGGGAUCCCUUAAAGAAGCCGAGAAGCUGGCUUAGCUCUCGAAUCCCGAUAAAGAAAUUCCAUGCCGGCGCCGGCCUCCCUCCGCAGCCUGCUUGCUUCAGACACCCUGAGAUCACUACCUCAAAGGUCCAUUGCGACCUGUGACUGCAACUGAGGCAUUGUCUCUGAGUCUCCUGGCCUGGGGAUGUUCGGGCAUUGGAACUAACCCUAACCCUGAUGCAAAAGCUGUGGUACCCAAACAUUCUGCCUGGCUUGCAGAAGAACCAAGGUCAAUAAAACAAACCCAAAGUGCCGUUUAAAUUUGCACCCCCACCCUUCUUUCCUUUAAGACAAAGCCUUCUAUUAUAUAUGACAGGCUGGCCUGGAGCUCGUGAUCCCCCAAGCCUCAGGCCUGUAGAGCAUUGAAAAUUACAAGUGCUUGUAGCCUUGUCCUACCUUCCUCCCCACCCCCACAAUAACUAAUAAAGGCAAAACCAAGUCA